rnacentral:rRNA from 1 species
GUAGGAUCCGUUGGAUAUCGGGUUUGAAUGUGGGAGGCAUCAACUUCCAAUUCUAAAUACGUCUCAAGACCGAUAGAGUAUUAGUACCGUGAGGGAAUGCUGAAAAGUACCCCUAUAGGGGGGUGAAAAGUACCUGAAACCAGAUAGUGACAGCCAGAUGUGGCGCGUAAGGAAUGAAUUCUUCCGAAAGAAUCAGUGGUAACAUUGUAGUAUGAGGAGGUUGGACUAGUGUUGCAUCGUCCGUCUUGAAACACGGGCCAGGGAGUUCUUUGUUGUGGUGAGGCUAAAAGGUUUUUAUCCUUGUAGUCGUAGGGAAACCGAUAUGCCCGCAGCGUUGUUGAGGGGCAAGGUCUUAAUAGGGCCUGGAAUCACAGCAUUGAAACCCGAAGCCGGUCGAUCUAUUCCUGAGCAGGAUGAAGUCGCUCUUACGAGCGAUGGAGGUUCGCAGGGUUGUUGUUCUGCAAAACACUCUUUUGACUUGGGAAUAGUGGUGAAAGGCCAAUCAAGGCCGGCGACAGCUGGUUCCACUCGAAAUGACUCUAAGGUCAGCCUGACUGGAGGUUGGUGGCGGGGUAGAGCACUAAUUGGACGUUUAGGGAGGGAAACUUCUCGGCGUACUGUAAAACUCCGAACUCGUCACCGUCGUAGAAGGUUGGAGUGAGGGGCGCGGGGUAAGCUUGUGUCCCGAAAGAGAAACAACUCAGACUAUGGUUAAGGCCCCUAAAUACUGGAUAAGUGUAAGGGAGUCUUUGGCCCAAGACAAUGGGAAGGUGGGCUUAGAAGCAGCCACCCUUUAACGAGUUCGUAACAGAUCACCCAUCGAGGUCAGAGGCACCUAAAAUGGACGGGAAUUAAUCCAGUUGCCGAUACCAUGGAACACCUUUUUUUUGGUGAUUGUGUAGAGUGGCGACCUGUGUGGGUUGAAGAGGGGGCGUGAGUUCCUUUGGACCUUGCAGGUAUGUGGAUCCUGGUAGUAGUAGCAGCAAAGUGAGGUGAGAAUCCUUACCGCCGGAGGGGCUAGGGUUCCUUGGCAAUGUUCGUCAGCCAAGGGUUAGUCGAUCCUAAGGUCAGUCAUAAGUUGAGCUGGUCGAAAGGGAAGCAGGUUAAUAUUCCUGUACAUAGUAAAUUUGCGGUGACGUUGAGGGCUAAUUUCUGACACUUCGAGAUAUGUUUUGUAGGAUUGUCGUCCUAUUUACGUGUUUAAGCCUGGGGAGAGGUGUAAUAGCGAGAACCAGGUGUAGGCAUUAUGAGCUGGUCGUUUUUGUACUGGUUUAACUGAUUCAUGGAGUCCUUGAAAAGGGAGUUAGUUUUGUAUUUUACUAUUUCGUACCGAGAUCCGUCACAGGUGCCCCUAGCUGAGUAGGCUAAGGCGUUUUAAGGUAAACUAGCUAAGGGAAAUCGGCAAAAUGGCCCCGUAACUUUGGAAGAAGGGGUGCCAGCUAUGUGAAUAGCUGGUCUCAGUGACUAGGGGGGCCCGACUGUUUAAUAAAAACAUAGCUCUCUGCUAGCCCGUAAGGGUGUGUACAGAGGGCGACACCUGCCCAGUGCUGGCACGUGAAGCUGGAGUUCAGUUCAGUGAAGCGCCAGUAAACGGCGGGGGUAACUAUAACCCUCUUAAGGUAGCGAAAUGCCUUGUCGGACAAGUACCGACCUGCAUGAAUGGUAGAACGAGGUCCCCACUGUCCCUAGCUAGAACUUAGUGAACCUGCUAUUCUGGUGCACAAGCCAGAGUCUUCCAUUGGGAAGCGAAGACCCCGUAGAGUUUUACUGCAGUCUGUCGUUGAAGCUUGGUUAUAGGUAUGCAGUGUAAGUGGGAGAAUUCGAUUAUAAGUCGCCAGGUUUAUAUGAUUCGUUCUUGAGACACCACUUUCUUAUGACUGUGUUUCUAACUUACUUUGUGUGAGGACAUCGGUAGAUGGGCAGUUCGGCUGGGGCGGCACGGGCUUGAAAUGGUAUCAAGCCCGCCCAAAGGUCAACUCAGGUGGGACAGAGAUCCACCGUAGAGUGUAAGGGCAAAAGUUGGCCUGACUGUAUUUCGAUCAGCAAGAAAUCCAGAGGCGAAAGCCGGGCCUAGCGAACCUCAGAGUCCUCCUUGAUGGGGGCCUGAGAUGACAGAAAAACUACCU